CAUCGGUGACAGGUGGUGCAUGGUUGUCGUCAGCUCGUGUCGUGAGAUGUUGGGUUAAGUCCGCAACGAGCGCAACCCCUAUUGUUAGUUGCCAUCAUUCAGUUGGGCACUCUAGCGAGACUGCCGGUAAUAAACCGGAGGAAGGUGGGGAUGACGUCAAAUCAUCAUGCCCCUUAUGACCUGGGCUACACACGUGCUACAAUGGUUGGUACAACGAGUUGCGAGUCGGUGACGGCGAGCUAAUCUCUUAAAGCCAAUCUCAGUUCGGAUUGUAGGCUGCAACUCGCCUACAUGAAGUCGGAAUCGCUAGUAAUCGCGGAUCAGCACGCCGCGGUGAAUACGUUCCCGGGCCUU
rnacentral:rRNA from 1 species